rnacentral:lncRNA from 1 species
GUAAUUAUUUUUAACCAUUGCCUUUGUAUAACUAAUUUUUCCUCAUGAACAAGAAACAUAAUAAGGGGUAAAACCUGGAGAUACGAGCAUGGAUCCUUCAAAAUCAUUUAUUCGUACUAGAGUGAAAGAGCUUCAAGAUCUUCAAAUCAUGUUUUCAUGGAAGGAUACUUUAGAGGAACUUGAAGGGUAUCAAAGGAAGCCAUUCAAUAUAUGAAAGGUGAAUCAAUAUGAAGAAGAAGAAGAGGAGAAGGGGCUAAAUGUGCAAAUAGACACUUUUUAAAUUCAAAGAUUCCAAAAGAGAAGAGAGC